GCCGCUCAUGUCCAAAUAAGUGAGACUUGGAAAUGAGGAGAAGUUGAAGUGAGCAAGUGUUCCAGAGAUUCUUAGAUAGUAAAUGUUGAGCUCAGAAACUGUUCCUGCAGUAUUGCAGGUAAUGCCAGUCCAAUUACAAAGGUAACUGAGAUUGUUUGAAGACCAAGAAUUGAGUGAAGAAGAGCUGAAUAAAGUGUCCUUCCAUUUGACAAGGGCUUCUCCUUGGGUGGUUGGUGAUGAUACUAUAUUUAGUGGAAGUACAACAAGGAAUAGUACAAGAAGAAGAGACUUGUUAACUAUUCCCAUGAUUGUUUACUCCGUUCCUGUAUUUUGUGGAGUAACAUACUAUGGGAUUUAUAGAACUCACAUGUGAACUGAAGGCCAAGGGUUUGCUCUGCAACUGAUUACUCUCAGUGACUUUCCUUGAAAUGGCUGUUCAAGCUGCUUUUGCUACGCGGACUUACUGUUUUUCGACAAGAACUUUAAAUAACACAAAGUAAGGACUUUAUAUUAAUUUACGUUAGUUCAGUCACAUUUCUGCUGUUAAUUCUAUAUACACGUUCCUACUUUCUAUGUUUUUUAGGAAUCAUAUAGUCUAGAAAAGGAGACCAGGUCCUGGAUUUACUUUACUAACAAAUCCAAUAAACAAAUAACCCACUAUAACAAAUCAAAUAUUGAAAGGUUCUUCCAUGAUCGUUAAAUUAUACUCCCUCCGUCCCACCCAUUUCUUAUCAAAUGGGUUGGGCACGGAGGUUAAGGAAUAUGAAUAAAAUAGUUGAAAAGAGGAAGAAAAGUGGGUAAAGUGGUGGGACCCAUUAAUUUUUAAUGUAUAAAAAGAAGAUAGUGGAGUAAAAGUAGUGUGAAAAGGAAAAAAAAGUGAAGAAGUAGUGGGACACAUUUACUAUUUUUGGUAAGUUUUGAAAUGUAAAGAAUUGGAUGGGACACCCAAAAAAAGAAAGUGUAAAGAAAUGGGUGAGACGGAGGGAGUAUAUGGCUAGUGUUUUCUCUUUAGUCAAAGCUGGCAUGACUUGAUUUAUUAGCUCAUAAGUUUGGUAGAUAAUCAGAGCUGUAAACAUGAGAGUUGGGCCAGUACAGCAUAGUAUCUUGUGGAAGAUGUUCCUGUAUUACUGGGUCUGGAAGAUGUAGCAGAUGUAAAGAAUGUUGACCCACUACUUUUGCUUUUCCUUAUAGCUCAUAAUAAAACAAGAAGCAAAGACUUAUAGAGUCAAGUCAAUGAUGCCCGACAAAGAAACCUGGAGACUAGUGACAUGAAAGAUGAAGCUGCCCUGAGAACUGCGGAGAAAAGUAUUCUUGCAGAAAUAAUUGCUUUAGUCCCACUACACUGGCUUGACUUCACAAGGUCUUUGGUGGGUGAGAGAUCACAGCUCAUGUUUCAGUUUUGUAACCGAUCUAAAAAUAUAAUUUCGGGUUAUUCCGGAAAUUUGAUUUAUAACCGAAAUCAAAUGAAAGCAAGGUACAUAUUAGUGAUGAGAAUUCAGCAAACUAGCAGCAAAUAACUUAUCACAUUUGUCUGUGUUAGAGCAUCUCCUAUCAUGAAAAUACCUUGGCUAAAAGUCUACAUUAGAGCAUCAGGUUCACUAUAAUGGUUAGUUAAAGUGAUAUAAAAUAUUGAUUAAUUAAAUAUGAUUUGCAAGAUUUGUAUAAGCACGUCCAACAAAAUCUUAAACAUGGACUGAGACACGUCUGGAGUAUCAUUUUUGAAGCAGGAGCUAUUGAAGUGGGCACUUUCCCCAGUGAAGGGCAAAGAAUGACAUGUAAAGCGAUUAAGAGUUGGAGGGCCAAAGUCGAAUGAAGACCAUUGGCCUGUAUAUGCGCAUUAGAGCAACAAUUAAGAAGUUCUAGCGAGGAAAAUGGUGCGGUUGAAGAGAAUGGGGAGAGUUGGGAAGCAAAGGGCUUAUGUGUUAUCACUGUCCAUUUUCCUUACUAUUUGAUGUAUAUAAUAAUUUCCAUCUUCCAUCAAUUGCUUAUCUGGUCUGGUACAGAAUGAUUCAUAUCUAGUAGGAAGCAGAACAGUCAAAUAGGGAAAAAAAACUGUGAACAUCAUCUUCAAGAAAAGAAAUGAAGAAAAACAUUUUCCCAACUAAACAGAGUUUUAGAUUAACUUUUGUUUUUAAUCUCCAGUUGUUUUUGUAGCACCUAAAAAGCUACUCCCUCCGUUCUCUUGAGUUUUAUACAUUGGGCGACGGGGACGUGACACGUACUUUAAUGCUCCUAUAAAGUAUAGUUCUAUAACUUUUUCUUAAGAUUUUUUUUUUUCUGAAUAAAAGUUUGAAUGUUAUAUUUUUAUUCAGAAAAAGAAAAUUUUAAGAAUAAGUUAUAGAACCACAUUUUACAAGAGCAUUGAAGUGCGUGUCGAGCAGUGAAAAAGAAACGUAUAGAAUUAAAUGGGACAGAGGGAGUAUGGAUUUAUACAUUCUUGACACUUGACAUGCUCAGUUCUUAGCUAAUAAUAAAACAGGGAGCAAAGACUUGCUAGUUAGCAAUGGGCAUGAAGCACUAAUGCUACGCAGACUUACAGUCUUUCAAUUUUACUGGAUUUUCGUUACUAACACACCCACUAUAACCCUGUAAUUAUGAAUGAGAACAAAAAGGUUCGUCCAUUAACUUGUAAUACUUUCAAAAAAUGAAAGGUUCUUCCCGGAUCUACGUAAUGGAUGGAAAUUAAAGAGUCUACCCUCAAGUUAGUCGCAUUGAACUUGCAAGAGACUCUGAACCCUAGCUACCCGUUUGUUUUUUUUAGUACAGUUUUUGAGAAAGGUUGCAAAAGCCUCAAAAGCUUUAGUUACCUAAGCAAAUCUUGGUACGUUCCACAACAAGCUCCUCGCUGCCAUAUGCAGUAAUAGGGGGGCAAGACUCUAUUAAAGGUAUUGAUAAACAACAUCUCUGACUGUCGCGCAACGUUUGAUUUACUCUCACUUUUUUGGUAGACUCGUAAAUGAGGGAUGCUGAUUUCUAUGUUCUCAGCAGAAGAUUUUCUUUUAGGAUAAUGAAUCAUAUAAUAUCUCAUCUUAAACACAGCUGAUAGCUACAAAUUACAGUUGGAUAGUAGAAUCUAGAUAUUUUUGGCACUUGACAUACUUAUAUUUGUCACUUCAGUUAUGCACACUGAUAAACUUGCAUGUUUAUCUUUUUAUAAUGAAAGCGAACAUACUGAAACAGAACAAAUUUAUUUGGAGUGGCGACAAUUAAUUCAGUACAGUGUGGAAAAUGUGGUUUAAGUGUUCAUCAUCAAUCUCCUGAUCAGUUUAUGCUGAGCUCUUUCAAUGAUACUCACAAACCACCAAGGCUUUAAUGUUGUAAAAACAAUGUAUCCUGUGGACAAUCCGCAUACCAAUCCUAUUCCAUACCCGAUCAGUAUCAUUUUCCAAUCAAACCAAAUAUAGUCAACAUCGUCAUCAGCUUCUCGUGGUGGAAACUCAUCAUCUUUGCAUUUCUUUGUCACAGGAGCUCCACACAACGCCAAGUUGCCUAGGAAUGAAUCUUUAGUAAAAGUAUCGAAAUGCCUGCCUUGUGGAAUUUCUCCAGAAAGAUUGUUGGUUGAAAGGUUCAAGGUUGAAAGAAAUUCCAAAGUACUCAAUUGCCGAGGAAUCAUACCUGUCAUUCGAUUUGAAGAGAAAUCUAAAGAUUCAAGGAGACUCAUGUUUCCCAAUGAGGAUGGGAUAUGGCCCGUAAGACUGUUAUGAGAGAGGUUGAGCAGCCGAAGUGAUUUAAAUUCGCCAAUGACCUCUGAAACUUCUCCGGUAAACUCGUUGCUUGAUAAAUCUAUACUUGUGUAUAUAUAGAGAAUUUUUUUCACUUCAAGCUCCAUUCCUUUGACAACUAGCGAAGUAGAAGCUUCGUAAUACAAACCGAUUGUGAAACUGGUAUUUAUACCAACUCUUCGAUCAGAGUUAGCCAUGAGUUUGAAAUUAUCAAAAAAGUUGAUUGGUAGAUUCCCACUAAAUUGAUUGUGAGAGAGAUCCAUGAUGCGCAGUUUGGAGAAUGGUCGCUCUGUCAUUUUAACACUCAAGUUACCAUGAAAUCUGUUUGACCGCAAGACUAGAAUUUGUAGCUGUGGAAGAGUCGGCAGCCAUGAUGGAAAAGAAUCCUUUAUUUUGUUGUUUCCAAGAUCUAGAAUUUGUAACAGCUUACAAUUGGCCAAGCCCAAGGGUAUUGAUCCUUCAAUGUGAUUGUUGUUGAUGUUGAAAGUAGUCAAUUCACAUGAGUUUCCGAUGAUUUGGGGUAUUGUCCCUUGAAAUUGAUUAUCAUGAAGAUCAAGUAUGAUAAGCUUAAUGUUUGUAUAUGUGAACAAACAACGUGGAAGUGCACCGCUUAACAUGUUACUUGACAAAUCAAGAAUCGCAAUGUUUGUCGUACAAAACAUUGGCAUUGUCCCUUUAAAUUUAUUCUUACUGAGAUUGACUACUAUAGUCUUGUUAAGAUUUCCUAGACAGCCGGGAAGUGAACCAUUUAAUUCAUUACUUGACAGAUCGAGAACCUGAAGAGAUGUCGCUUUGCAAAGUGUUUGGGGAAAUUCUCCUGUCAAUUUGAUAAAAAAAAGAUUGGAUAAAAUUAUCAUUCCAUGAUUCCAUCUUAUAUUCCCAGAUAAAUUCAUGUGAGACAAGUUAAAAUUGGCCAACAUAACACCUUAUACUUGAAUUUGUAAAAUAUUAACAGGUGAAAAAGUUGGAGAGCUUACCAGAAAAGUUAUUCCCAGAUAAAUUCAUGUGAGACAAGUUGGGGGUAUAUUUCCCAAAGUCGGUAGGAAUGCUGCCAGAAAACCUAUUGAAAGAAAGGCCAAGUUUUCUCAACAUAGUUAAAUGAGAAAUUGAAUCAUGCAGCUCUCCGACCAAUUGAUUAUUUUCGAGUUGAAGAUAUUGGAGCAAUGUGAAGUUCCCAAUCUCCAGUGGUAUAAUUCCAUUCAAUUGGUUGUUGCUGAGAUCAAGAUACGUCAGAUUUAUCAAGCGUCCAAUAUCAUGUGGAAUAGUUCCUGUCAAUUGGUUGUUGCCGAGAUCAAGAUAUUCAAGCAGUGUUAAGUUCGAAACCUCGGGUGGAAUAGUUCCACUUAGAUUAUUAUUGUACAGAAAUAAGGAUUCCAAUUUGGCCAGGUUCCCGAUUGUUGCAGGAAUUGAACCUUCUAGAUGGUUUUCUGACAAGUAUAAUAUCUGGAGCUGAUUCAAGUUACCUAUCUCUUUGGGAAUUGUUCCUUCAAGAUCAUUUCCAGUUAGAUCGAGGGAUGUAAGAUUUCUCAACAUACCAAUUUCAGAAGGAAUAUUACCACUGAAGCCACUGUACCUCAUAUCCAGUGAAGUUAACUCAGUCCAUUUGGUGAAGAGUUGAGGGGAGAGCUCACCAGAAAGAUGAUUCUCAUAUAGGGAUAGUUCAGAAAUCCGGGUUAGAUUCGAAAAGGAGUAAGGCAGAGGCCCAGUAAGAGAAUUACCAGAUAGAUUCAAGGCAUUGAGCUUGGUACACAACCCAAGCUCAGGAGGAAUACUAGAGUUCAAAUUGUUAAAACUGAGAUCAAGUUGUUGAAGCUCUGUAAGUUGAUCUAUGAAGGAAGGAAUAUUCCCUGCAAAGGAAUCAUUAAACGAAUUAACAACUUUAAGUAGCAUAUGGUGAGAGAAUGAAUAUAUACAGCUUUAUUUUAAUUACGACUCUGUGAAUGACCUGUACUAAAGGAAAUACAAAUAUGAUAUCUUGUAGUAUAUUGUAACUACUGGAGAUGACUAAUUUAGUAAGGAAAGUUACCAUCAAGAUUGUUGAAGCUGAGAUCCAAGCGCUGAAGUUGUGUUGCAUUUCCAAUAUCUACCGGUAUACUACCUGAUAAGUUGUUGUAGCUCAUGGCCAAAGAAGUGAGGCUUGGAAAUGAGGAGAAGUUGAAGUGAGCAAGUGUUCCAGAGAUUCCCUGAUCGUAAAUUUGGAGCUUGGAAACUGUUCCUUCGGUAUUGCAGGUAAUGCCAGUCCAAUUACAAAGGUUACUGAGAUUGUUUAAAGACCAAGAAUUGAGUGGAGAAGAGUCAAAUAAAGUGUCCUUCCAUUUGACAAGGGCUUCUCCUUGGGUGGUUGGUGAUGAUAC
rnacentral:lncRNA from 1 species